UGUCAACUAUUGGAGUCAGUGGGAUCAUUAACCUCCAGCCACUGAGCUCACCACUGGCUGAAGUUAUGGCAGCAGCCACAUUCCCGGUCUGACCAGAGUCUACAAGUCUCCAGGCAGCAACAGUGAAGAGGAGUAUAGAGGAAGAGUUCUUGGCCUGAAUCUGCUGGUCAUGAACAGAUUUCUGGAGGAUGAUCCAUAGAUCAGGCUCAUCGUUUCACAUCUAUGUGGACUCCAAUAUC